GUGGUGGAAAGUUUUUUCGGUGUGGGAUGAGCUCGCGGCCUAUCAGCUUGUUGGUGGGGUAAUGGCCUACCAAGGCGUCGACGGGUAGCCGGCCUGAGAGGGUGUACGGCCACAUUGGGACUGAGAUACGGCCCAGACUCCUACGGGAGGCAGCAGUGGGGAAUAUUGCACAAUGGGCGCAAGCCUGAUGCAGCGACGCCGCGUGGGGGAUGACGGCCUUCGGGUUGUAAACUCCUUUCGCUAGGGACGAAGCGUUUUGUGACGGUACCUGGAGAAGAAGCACCGGCUAACUACGUGCCAGCAGCCGCGGUAAUACG
rnacentral:rRNA from 1 species